rnacentral:lncRNA from 1 species
CUUGGUAUUGAAACUGCACUCCUUGGUAGGUGAACUUGGUCUUGGCAAGAUUUCUUGUUGAUCUUCUGGGGGAGGGGCCUGUUGUAGUGAUUCUUAAGUGUCUUUGCCCCAGGCAGAAUUGCACUGCCCUUAUCAGGGGCCAGGCUGAGUAAUCCGCUCGGGUUUGAUUUCAGGAGCUUUUGUUCCCUGAGCGCUUUUCGUAGAGUUCCGGAGGACGGGAAUACAAAUAGCAGCCUCCUGGUCUCUGGCCCAGAAGAGCCGAGAGGCCGGGGCCCCACUCCUCAGUGCGCCCUCAGAGAACAGCGCCCAGUAACUCCUGUCUGCCUGACCUUUGGCCGCGCUCCGAGCUCACCGAGCCUGCAACCGGUUCAAGGUUGAAAACUGGAAUUUGCUCUGCCACUUGCCUCCCACAUCCAUUUAUUUCAUGUGUAGCUGUGAAAGGUAUGCCUAAUGUUUGUCAUGAGAUUUGCAUCUUCCAUUCUUUAGUUCUGUUUGCACCCUGCA